CCUACGGGAGGCAGCAGUGGGGAAUAUUGGGCAAUGGGCGCAAGCCUGACCCAGCAACGCCGCGUGAAGGAAGAAGGCUUUCGGGUUGUAAACUUCUUUUAUCCGGGACGAAGCAAGUGAUGGUACCUGCUGAAUAAGCCACGGGUAACUACGUGCCAGCAGCCGCGGGAAUACGUAGGUGGCAAGCGUUAUCCGGAUUUACUGGGUGUAAAGGGCGUGUAGGCGGGAGUGCAAGUCAGAUGUGAAAACUAUGGGCUCAACCCAUAGCCUGCAUUUGAAACUGUACUGCUUGAGUGCUGGGGAGGCAAUCGGAAUUCCGUGUGUAGCGGUGAAAUGCGUAGAUAUACGGAGGAACACCAGUGGCGAAGGCGGAUUGCUGGACAGUAACUGACGCUGAGGCGCGAAAGCGUGGGGAGCAAACAGGAUUAGAUACCCUUGUAGUC
rnacentral:rRNA from 1 species